rnacentral:rRNA from 1 species
AUUGAACGCUGGCGGCAGGCCUAACACAUGCAAGUCGAACGAGUGGCGGACGGGUGAGUAAUGUCUGGGAAACUGCCUGAUGGAGGGGGAUAACUACUGGAAACGGUAGCUAAUACCGCAUACCAUCAGAUGUGCCCAGAUGGGAGUAGCUAGUUGGUGGGGUAACGGCUAACCAAGGCGACGAUCCCUAGCUGGUCUGAGAGGAUGACGAGCCACACUGGAACGUGUACACGGUCCAGACUCUUACGGUAGGCAGCAGUGGGGAAGAUUGCACAAUGGGCGCAAGCCUGAUGCAGCCAUGCCGCGGGGUGGAAGAAGGCCUUCGGGUUGUAAAGGACUUUCAGCGGGGAGGCGUUACCCGCAGAAGAAGCACCGGCUAACUCCGUGCCAGCAGCCGCGGUAAUUC